rnacentral:rRNA from 1 species
UACGUAGGGGGCAAGCGUUGUCCGGAAUUAUUGGGCGUAAAGCGCGCGCAGGCGGUUCUUUUAAGUCUUGUGUUUAAGGCUGGGGCUCAACCCUAGUCCGCAUGGGAAACUGGGGGACUGGAGUGCAGGAGAGGAAAGUGGAAUUCCACGUGUAGCGGUGAAAUGCGUAGAGAUGUGGAGGAACACCAGUGGCGAAGGCGACUUUCUGGCCUGUAACUGACGCUGAGGCGCGAAAGCGUGGGGAGCAAACAGG